GUCUGCGGCCAUGCCACCCUGAACAUGCCUGAUCUCGUCUGAUCUCGGAAGCUAAGCAGGGUCGGGCCUGGUUAAUACUUGGAUGGGAGACCACCUAGGAAGACUUGGUGCUGUAGGCG
rnacentral:rRNA from 1 species